rnacentral:rRNA from 1 species
UACGUAGGUGGCGAGCGUUAUCCGGAAUGAUUGGGCGUAAAGGGUGUGCAGCCGGGACUGCAAGUCAGAUGUGAAAUCCGCGGGCUUAACCCGCGAACUGCAUUUGAAACUGCGGAUCUUGAGUACCGGAGAGGUUAUCGGAAUUCCUUGUGUAGCGGUGAAAUGCGUAGAUAUAAGGAAGAACACCAGUGGCGAAGGCGGAUAACUGGACGGCAACUGACGGUGAGGCACGAAAGCGUGGGGAGCAAACAGG